rnacentral:lncRNA from 1 species
AAUCAAUAGGACAAUUUGCUGAGGUCUGGGAGCACCCUCCCCAAAGAAUCCCUGAUCUCCCCAAAUUUGGUGAAGAACUAAAGUUCAUUUUGCUGUACAACUGCCCCACCUAUUUUUGUUUUUGGAGUUUUACUUGCUUACUUGCCUUCCUUAUAAGGAAGGCAAGAUUUACUUUUACUUCCUUUACAAGGAAGGCAAGAUUUCCUGCUUCCAUGAUGAUGAAAGGCAUGUAGAGUUUGAGCUCACUCCCAGCAGGGAAGACCAGUUUGAGUUUUUUUCCUGCUUCUAGGGUGGUAGAAAGCAGCCUUCAGCCUGAGACCCAUCCCUAGGUGCUUUGAAAGUACCUGUGACAUUAAGUUACAGGCCUUUGACUCCUGGGUCUAAAAAGGACACCAAGGUCUGCUAAAUCUUAAGCACUGACAGCAAUUAAAACCUCAUCUUCAGGCCUGGUAGAAGAUGCCAAUCAAAAUAAACUGCAUUCCUGAGACAUAAGGCCAGAAGUAAAAGCUAUUCAACUCCUCAAGGCUCAGGAACUACCACAGAAGAGUCCUUUUUAGAAGAUGGUUUUAUAAUCAGCUAUAAAACUCUAACACGUGUUCUUGAAGGCAAGUUUCUAAUAACUUUGGAGACUGUGACAUCAGAAUGGAGGAAAAGCUUUCAGAACUCAUGGAGACCUGAAAUGUUCAUGAAUAGCAAGCAGAACAGGAAUUAACUGCAUGAACUGAACUAAUAGAAGAGCAACGUAAUCUUUUUGACUUUUUGCUUAAAAUGUUGCUGCUCCUUGUUUUCCUUUUUUUAGUCAAGGAAACUUUUAUUUGAGCUGUUGUCAGCUUUUAACAAGUUAGUAUACUCCUGUGAAAAAUAUUUGGAGCAUAUUUGUUUCUCUCUACCUGAUUUUCCCCAGAAUUGGAAACUAUCUGUGAGUAUUCUUAACUUAUGGCAAUACAGUUAUUUGCAUAAGUGCAAUAAUAAUCUGUUUUCAUGUGUAACAAGACACAAUUGGAGAAAUUGGUCAUUUUACCAAGGCUUUGACUGGAAUGGUGUGCUCUCCUUUAAGGAAUCAAAUUUGACUUAUGGAGCCAAUAAAAGCCCCUUGGGAGAACUGGCCUCAUACCUUAUCUACACAGUCCCUGUACAGGGUUCCUGACCUGUGGUAAGUAAAGCAUGUCACUUUCUAACAGUUCCAGGAGCCCCAAGUUUAUCUUGGAACCUCAAGAGCAGAGGAAUUCAUGCAACUCAUAGGUAUUUGAUGGUACAAAUCCAUGGCUAGGCUAAGCUUUCCAAAAGUCUUAUCCGAAAUUCCUUCUAUGGAACAAAGUUCUGAUAGGGACAGGGGGCUGAGAAAUUCUAGGCAGAAAAGGGUAGGUCUCUGACAAAACCCCACCUUCAAGCUGAAAAGCCUUAAACCACGGCCCAAAGUGAGAACUUAUAUCCCUGUUUUCCUGCUUGAAAGUUGCCUUUUUCUAAACCACUCAUGGCUCCAUCCUGUCCAUCCUAUGCCUGUGAAGAUGCCAGACUCAGCUGGCAGAGGCAAGAAGCAGCUGGACAUUGGGAACUACAGCUGGACGUCAGAGAGAAGCAGCUUGAUUCAGAGGGACAGCUUGAUGGUGUAAUCUUGGAGAAGAAUCCAGCUGGAUACAGCCUAACUUUGAGGAAGAUUACCUACCCACCCCAUCCUUUUUCAGCUCCGCUUUCUGCUAAGAGCCACUUUCAUCAGCAACAAAAUCCCCCACAUUUACCAUCCUUUGAUUGGUUCAUGUGACCUCACUUUUCCUGGACACAAGACAAGAGCUUGGGAGCCAGGAGAGCAGAUACAAAAGACUGUCACACUGGCCCUCUGCCCUUGCUGGUGGAGGGCAGCUGCCUCACACAAAAAGGCAGAGGCCUCACUGAGCUGUUGACACUUAAGCCAUCCAUGGAAGGCAGAGUUAAAAGAACACUGUAACAUGCCCUCUGGGGCUAUGGGGGUCGCAGGCACCCCCACCUAGAUGCUGCUGUGGGGCCCACACAGAGUUUGCUCCUGCCGGUGGCCAAAAGCACUCACUUUGGCUCCUGCACUGAUUCACCUGCAUGCUUCCUCCCACAAGCAGGGGACUGCAGCAGGUCCCAGUGAGUGAAGUUUGAUCCUACCGUGCUGCAGUGCCGAUUCCAGCACACGUGCACUCCAGUUCCUGCCUCAUUUGCUUGCAUGCUCGCUCCUGCAAGGAGUUGAGAGUGGCAGGCUGAAUAAACGAGGCACCCGUCACAAGUCCCACAAAGGGGUCAGGGAAACAUCCUGCUUCAGUUCCAUCAAAGGCAAUUUAAAAGCUUAUGCAAAAAAAAAGUAUUACUAUGGCUGCGCUGUAUACAAAUAAUCAGGUCAAGUAUAAUAAAGAAAAUCAGCCCUGCCAUGAUUUGUCUUUAGUAAAAAUGGGAAAUGGGAGAGAGAAGAAUUAUGUUUCAAAAAAUGAUAAUACACCUGUUGUUAGAUUCUAGUCUUGCCUAAUGUUUUCCCAUUUUUAUUAUUUUCUACAGUUUCCACUGAAUUCUAAUUUUUCUUGGCUACAGGUCUUCAAAAGAUUGUUUUCAGUUUUUUUUUCUUCUUCUUUCCCCCAUUUUUCCUAAUUUGGAGUCACUGAAAACUCAUCUGUGCUUUUGUAAAGCCCUGCGAACUGGAGCUAGAGAAUUUAAACUUCAGAAGAAAAUACCAGCAACCUGUUUACAUACAUAAGCCACUUUCAUACCUGCCUACUGAUGUAUGGACUUCAGAGUAAUGUGGCCCAUAUUGAUUUUCCAGGAUUGUUCUUUUGUUUAUUUUUGUUUUUCUCCCUUCCUCCCCCUAUUUUCUCUUCAUAGGACAUGAAACUUCACAACCUGCUAAAAAUGAACUUUCCUAAUAACUCAGGAAUUAUCUUUCUAGGAAUAAACAAUCCUAGCCAUGAGAUAUCAGAUGAAACUUGAGACCAAAGACUGACUUUCUUCAAAAAGGCUUUCUCAAAAAGAUUUUUAAGAAAAGGGGGGAAAUUUGAAAGGAAAAUAAACCUUGGGGCCCUGAAAUCACUAAGGUAAAGGGGAAAGUCAAGCUGGGAACUGCUUAGGGCAAACCUGCCUCCCAUUCUAUUCACAGUCACCCCUCUGCUCACUGAGUUAAAUGCAUAUCUGAUUGCCUCCUUUGGAAAGGCUAAUCAGAAACUCUAAAGAAAGCAACCAUUUGUCUCUUAUCUACCUAUGACCUGGAAGCCCCUCCCCGCUUAGACUUGUCCCGCCUUUUCCGGACGGAACCACUGUUCAUCUUACAUAUGUUGAUUGAUGUCUCAUGUCUCCCUAAAAUGUAUAAAACCAAGCUGUGCUCUGACCACUUUGGGCACAUGUCUUCAGAACCUCCUGAGGCUGUGUCACAGGUGUACAUCCCCAACCUUGGCAAAAUAAACUUUCUAAAUAAACUGAGACCUGUCUCCGAUUUUGGGGGUUCACAAGGCCAUACUGACUUGUCCCCUGUGUGAAGCCCAGCAGGAUCCUUUCACAGCAAGCUCUUUUCACUUGAACCUUUGUGCAUCAGUGCCUAACUCUUUCACAAGAUAAGGGGUCCUACAGAAUCGAAGCAGACCCACCAGAGGGUUACAAGUUCCUGAUACCUAGUACAACCUGGGAAAGAGAGCAAAAGCCCUUUAUUCCUGAUGCAGCUUCCCCAAUCUCUAGCCAAUUUGCACCAAAAGCCCAAGAAACUCCUAACUACAAAUUCCUUCCUGGGGUGGGGUGUUUGGGAGGGUGGGCAGGGACUUCUCUGGGGUCCUGCAUGCACAGCUAGGAUCAAGGUUCAGCUUAUAGUAACCAUUUCCUCAUUUUAAUAGUAAAAACAACCACAACAAGAAAAACACCCCAAGGCGGAGAUUUCAUAUGCUAAUGAUACAUGCGAUGGGUGUUAGACCACGUGGAUCCUGAGCACAUGUGCCAACCGCAGGUCUGCCUUUGCAUACUUGACCUCACCAGUAUUUUAUGAUUAUGUACGUAUAGCUCCCAUAAAAGGAAUUCCUCUUACAGCACUAGCUGCUGUCUCUCCCACUGAGCACCCCACUCUGCCUCUCAAAGAGUACUUUUGCUUUGCAACAAAUUUCUUCGCUUACUCUUACUUUGGAUUUGCUCUCAAAUUCUUUUGCACAGCAAAUUCAAGAACCUGAACUGGUCCACCGACAACAAAAUAACAAAAUUCCCUUAUAUAACAUUUGGAGUCUGCCUUAACUGAUUUGAAUCAAGAUGGAAUGCAGUAGGAUGAGAUGUGCCUUUUAAAUUUGACACAGAAGAGUGAGGAGUAUUACCAUGAUAUCAUAAGUUCUAAAAUCAUGGAUGAACUUACAAACAACAAUACUGGGGCUUUACCUAUCCCAAAGCAUUCCAUAUAUCAAAUUGAAACAAUCAAAAGCUUCUAUUUUAUUUUAGUUUAUGCGUGACAUUGGAGCAGUUUGGCACUAUGAGUUCAUCCCUGAAGUCUUACUUUGGAAUCAUGCUUUGAGAAUCCCCUUCUACUGCAUUCCCACCUCACCCCCAUGAAUCAGUAAACUCAGUGAAAAUUAUCACAAAAA